CUCCGCCCUCUCCCUGCGCGGAAGAGAGGAGCGGGGAGUGAGAGGCCGAGGAGGCGGUGCCGUUUAUAUGGAGACUAGGCUAGGAGCCUGGGAGGAAGAGGAGGAGGAAAGGACCACCCGGCACGUCCUCGUGGUGGUUGCCUCCACUCCUCCAGCCCUUAGCCCAGGGCUGAUGUCAUCUGCAGCAAAUCAUUUCGCCGGCGGCCCGGAAGCUGGAAGGACGAGCUCUCUACAGAUAUGUGAAGCUUGACCUCAUUUUCGAAACUCCUGCACAGGAAGCCACAGUGUGAUUCGUCUGCCGUUCAUUCGCUCUUCCCCAUCUGCAGACCUUCAGCAGAUCUCUGCGUUCUUCAAACUGAUGUGGCAAUGGCCGUGUGUCUAUGUGUGUUCAGCUCUCUGGGCACAGACGGCUGGAGUAGAGCAGAUAGGCUACGUGUGUUACUUUAUUUUAACAUGAGCUGCCUCCUCCUGUCAAGAGACCUCAAGGGAAGUCAACUGCUGAGUUCCUGCCACAUCACCACCUCUUCUUCCAAACUCCCAGGGUUUUCCUCGUAACAGAUAAAUAUUCUUAUAAAAAAAAAUCAAGUUUUUAUUUGCCCCCACCCAUUAAUCUUUUAAAUCACAUUUCUUCUGUUUUAUCAAUUAAGCAUGUGCUCUUAAAUCAAUCUCUCUCUCUCU
rnacentral:lncRNA from 1 species